rnacentral:misc_RNA from 1 species
GAUGAAGAACGCAGCGAAAUGCGAUAACUAAUGUGAAUUGCAGAAUUCCGUGAAUCAUCGAGUCUUUGAACGCACAUUGCGCCCCCUGGUAUUCCGGGGGGCAUGCCUGUCCGAGCGUCAUUACGCCCCUCAAGUCCCCUGUGGACUUGGUGUUGGGGAUCGGCGAGGCUGGUUUUCCAGCACAGCCGUCCCUUAAAUUAAUUGGCGGUCUCGCCGUGGCCCUCCUCUGCGCAGUAGUAAAACACUCGCAACAGGAGCCCGGCGCGGUCCACUGCCGUAAAACCCCCCAACUUUUUAUAGUUGACCUCGAAUCAGGUAGGACUACCCGCUGAACUUAAGCAUAUCAAUAAGCGGAGGA